UUGUUCCUACGGGGCGCAGCAGUGGGGGAUAUUGCACAAUGGGGGGAACCCUGAUGCAGCGACGCCGCGUGGGUGAAGAAGCGCCUCGGCGCGUAAAGCCCUGUCAGCAGGGAAGAAAAUGACGGUACCUGAAGAAGAAGCCCCGGCUAACUACGUGCCAGCAGCCGCGGUAAUACGUAGGGGGCAAGCGUUAUCCGGAUUUACUGGGUGUAAAGGGAGCGUAGACGGCAAGGCAAGCCAGAAGUGAAAGGGCAGGGCUCAACCCUGUACAUGCUUUUGGAACUGUGGUGCUAGAGUGCAGGAGG
rnacentral:rRNA from 1 species